UACAGAGGUCUCGAGCGUUAGGCGGAAUCACUGGGCUUAAAGCGUGUGUAGGUGGAUGCCUAAGUACCUUGUGAAAUUCCACAGCUUAACUGUGGAACUGCUUGGUAUACUGGGUGUCUUGAGUCACUCAGGGGCGAGCGGAACAAAUGGUGGAGCGGUGAAAUGCGUAGAUAUCAUUUGGAACGCCAAUGGUGAAAACAGCUCGCUGGGGGUGCACUGACACUGAGACACGAAAGCCAGGGGAGCGAACGGG
rnacentral:rRNA from 1 species